GUCUCGCGAAACCGAGCGAGACUACGGAAGGCCGAAGGAUUGGGCUCAGCAUUGCUUGGGCUAAAGUCUGAAUAGGGCUUCCAGGAAGUGAUGUAUGUGAGAAGUUUGAUUUUUCAAAUGUACGUGGAGUCGCUAUCGCGUCGAAAUAGCUCAAGAGCUAAUCUAGGAUAAACAAUAAUUCCUUUUCGUAUUCAUCAAGGUGCUUCUAAGUGCCAAUGCCAGGCUGAAAUUACUAUCAGAUAUCUUGCCACCACAUGGAGGCUUUGAGUGAAGUCUACAUGGAGGAGAACAGAGCUGACAGAUGGAAAGAUACUGAAUCCCAGCAACAUCCUUUGAGAUGCUGGAUCAGCUGAGCUGGGCUUGAAGAUAGAGCUACUCCUGUACUUUUAAGGUACAUAAGUCAAUGAAUUCCCUUGUUUGCUUGGAUUAGCUUGAUUUUAUUUUCUGUUACCUGUAGCAAGAGUACUAUUACCUUGAAUAUUUCCCACUUGCUCUCCAGAUUCACUCUC